rnacentral:rRNA from 1 species
AUUGAACGCUGGCGGCAGGCCUAACACAUGCAAGUCGAACGAGUGGCGGACGGGUGAGUAAUGUCUGGGAACCUGCCUGAUGGAGGGGGCUAACUACUGGAAACGGUAGCUAAUACCGCAUACCAUCAGAUGUGCCCAGAUGGGAUUAGCUUGUUGGUGGGGUAACGGCUCACCAAGGCGACGAUCCCUAGCUGGUCUGAGAGGAUGACCAGCCACACUGGAACUGAGACACGGCCCAGACUCCUACGGGAGGCAGCAGUGGGGAAUAUUGGACAAUGGGCGAAAGCCUGAUGCAGCAAUGCCGCGUGUGUGAAGAAGGCCUUCGGGUUGUAAAGCACUGUUAGCGGGGAGGCGGUACCCAAAGAGGAAGCACCGGCUAACUCCGUGCCAGCAGCCGCGGUAAUUC